GUACGGAUUCUGGGCGUAAGCGUGCGUAGGCGGUUCGUUAAGUCAGAUGUGAAAGCCCCGGGCUUAACCUGGGAACUGCAUUUGAAACUGGCGGACUAGAGUUGAGUAGAGGGGAGUGGAAUUUCAGGUGUAGCGGUGAAAUGCGUAGAUAUCUGAAGGAACACCAGUGGCGAAGGCGACUCCCUGGACUCAAACUGACGCUGAGGUACGAAAGCGUGGGUAGCAAACAGGAUUAGAUACCCUGGUAGUCCACGCUGUAAACGAUGUCAACUAGCCGUUGGUCCUAUUUACAGGAUUAGUGGCGCAGCUAACGCAUUAAGUUGACCGCCUGGGGAGUACGGCCGCAAGGUUAAAACUCAAAUGAAUUGACGGGGGCCCGCACAAGCGGUGGAGCAUGUGGUUUAAUUCGAUGCAACGCGAAGAACCUUACCUACCCUUGACAUCCAUAGAAUC
rnacentral:rRNA from 1 species